CUUCUUAAUUUGAUCAGGACUCAAGUUCAGUUAAUUUCUAAUUAGAUUAGAAAUUUAUUGAGAAGAUUGUAUUUCUAAUUAGAUUAGGUUCCUUCUUUUCAUUAAGUCCAAACUAAAUCAGAUUUGGAUUGAGCCAAAAUUGAAAAAGUAAGAGUCCCAACCAUCUGGGGUUCUCUCCUUUGUGCAUGCCCUAGAGGCCACGCCAUUCUUUGCACGCAAAAGGAGUUUCGCAUGAGA
rnacentral:lncRNA from 1 species